UACGUAGGGGGCAAGCGUUGUCCGGAUUUAUUGGGCGUAAAGCGCGCGUAGGUGGUCUGGUAGGUCCGCUGUGAAAACUUGAGGCUCAACCUCAAGCUGUCGGUGGAAACUCCUUGGCUAGAGUCCGGAAGAGGAGACUGGAAUUCCUGGUGUAGCGGUGAAAUGCGCAGAUAUCAGGAGGAACACCGGUGGCGAAGGCGGGUCUCUGGGCCGAUACUGACGCUGAGGAGCGAAAGCGGGGGGAGCGAACAGG
rnacentral:rRNA from 1 species